AUUGAACGCUGGCGGCAUGCUUUACACAUGCAAGUCGAACGGUAACAGGCCGCAAGGUGCUGACGAGUGGCGAACGGGUGAGUAAUGCAUCGGAACGUGCCCAGUCGUGGGGGAUAACUUCUCGAAAGAGCAGCUAAUACCGCAUACGAUCUAUGGAUGAAAGCGGGGGACCGUAAGGCCUCGCGCGAUUGGAGCGGCCGAUGUCAGAUUAGGUAGUUGGGGGGGUAAAGGCUCACCAAGCCAACGAUCUGUAGCUGGUCUGAGAGGACGACCAGCCACACUGGGACUGAGACACGGCCCAGACUCCUACGGGAGGCAGCAGUGGGGAAUUUUGGACAAUGGGGGCAACCCUGAUCCAGCAAUGCCGCGUGCAGGAAGAAGGCCUUCGGGUUGUAAACUGCUUUUGUACGGAACGAAACGGUCUGGGUUAAUACCCUGGGCUAAUGACGGUACCGUAAGAAUAAGCACCGGCUAACUACGUGCCAGCAGCCGCGGUAACAC
rnacentral:rRNA from 1 species